rnacentral:rRNA from 1 species
GGUCUCGGAUGACUAAGCCAUGCGAGUCAUUGUAGCAUACAAGGCAGACGGCUCAGUAACGCGUAGUCAAUCUACCCUAUGGACGGGGAUAACCUCGGGAAACUGAGAAUAAUACCCGAUAGAACAUUAUGCCUGGAACGGUUUAUGUUUCAAAUGAUUUAUCGCCAUAGGAUGGGACUGCGGCCUAUCAGUUUGUUGGUGAGGUAAUGGCCCACCAAGACUAUUACAGGUACGGGCUCUGAGAGGAGUAGCCCGGAGAUGGGUACUGAGACACGGACCCAGGCCCUAUGGGGCGCAGCAGGCGAGAAAACUUUGCAAUGUGCGAAAGCACGACAAGGUUAAUCCGAGUGGUUUCUGCUAAAGAAACCUUUUGCUAGUCCUAGAAACACUAGUGAAUAAGGGGUGGGCAAGUUCUGGUGUCAGCCGCCGCGGUAAAACCAGCACCUCAAGUGGUCAGGAUGAUUAUUGGGCCUAAAGCAUCCGUAGCCUGCUUUGUAAGUUUUCGGUUAAAUCCAUAUGCUCAACAUAUGGGCUGCCGGGAAUACUGCAAAGCUAGGGAGUGGGAGAGGUAGACGGUACUCGGUAGGAAGGGGUAAAAUCCUUUGAUCUAUUGAUGACCACCUGUGGCGAAGGCGGUCUACCAGAACACGUCCGACGGUGAGGGAUGAAAGCUGGGGGAGCAAACCGGAUUAGAUACCCGGGUAGUCCCAGCUGUAAACUAUGCAAACUCAGUGAUGCAUUGGCUUGUGGCCAUUGCAGUGCUGCAGGGAAGCCGUUAAGUUUGCCGCCUGGGGAAGUACGUACGCAAGUAUGAAACUUAAAGGAAUUGGCGGGGGAGCACCACAAAGGGGUGAAGCCUGCGGUUCAAUUGGAGUCAACGCCGGGAAUC